UACGUAGGGUGCAAGCGUUGUCCGGAAUUAUUGGGCGUAAAGAGCUUGUAGGCGGUUUGUCGCGUCUGCUGUGAAAUUUCGGGGCUCAACCCCGAACUUGCAGUGGGUACGGGCAGACUAGAGUGUGGUAGGGGAGACUGGAAUUCCUGGUGUAGCGGUGAAAUGCGCAGAUAUCAGGAGGAACACCGAUGGCGAAGGCAGGUCUCUGGGCCGGUACUGACGCUGAGACGCGAAAGCGUGGGGAGCGAACAGG
rnacentral:rRNA from 1 species